UACGUAGGUGGCAAGCGUUGUCCGGAAUCAUUGGGCGUAAAGAGCGUGUAGGCGGCCAGAUAAGUCCGCUGUGAAAUCUCGAGGCUCAACUUCGAGCUGUCGGUGGAAACUGUCUGGCUAGAGUCCGGAAGAGGAGAAUGGAAUUCCUGGUGUAGCGGUGAAAUGCGCAGAUAUCAGGAGGAACACCGGUGGCGAAGGCGGAUCUCUGGGCCAUUACUGACGCUGAGGAGCGAAAGCGUGGGGAGCGAACAGG
rnacentral:rRNA from 1 species